GGCCCCGCCCCCCGCAGCCGACCACAGGUGAGCGUGCGCCUGAUCGCGGCGGCGGCGAGAGCGCGAGCGGAGCGGAGCAGCAACAUGAGACUCGGUCCGAAGCGCCCGGACUGAGCUGAUCCACACCUAGAUCUGGUUCUGCCGAAGUGCACGGCUCCAUAUGCCUCCAUGAGUGACCCCUGACCCGUGAAGCCCCUCCCCUCCAGUCAGUCCCGUCCAAUCGCGCGCUUCGCCAUGGUUUGCCACGACAACGAAACUGUGAGUUUCUUCUACAACCUCAGCAAGAAGAGCAUCAGCGACACGUGGAGGCCCAAAGACGUGGUGGUGGUGUCCCUGGGCCUGCUGGUCUGCGCCUUCGUCAUCUUCGCCAACAUCCUGGUCAUGCUGGCCAUCUUCAUCAACCGCAGGUUCCACUACCCCAUCUACUACCUGCUGGGGAACCUGGCGGCGGCCGACCUGUUCUCCGGCAUCUCCUACCUGUACCUGAUGUUCCACACGGGCCCCUGGACCAGCAAGCUCUCCAUCCAUGAGUGGUUUGUGCGGCAGGGUUUGAUCGACACCAGUCUGACGGCGUCCGUCAUUAAUCUGAUGGCCAUCGCGCUGGAGCGCCACCAGACCAUCUUCACCAUGCAGCUGCACAGUAAGAUGACCAACCACCGGGUGGUGCUGCUGAUCGUGGGCAUCUGGCUCAUCGCCAUAGUGCUGGGUUUGGUGCCCUCUAUGGGCUGGAGCUGCGUCUGCAACCUCCAGCAGUGCUCCAACAUGGCGCCGCUCUACAGCCGCAGCUACCUGGUGUUCUGGGCCGUGCUCAACCUGCUGACCUUCACUGUCAUGGUGGCCGUCUACACGCGCAUCUUCAUCUACGUGCGCCGCAAGAGCCACCGCAUGAGCCAGCACACCUCGCAGGCCAAGCACAAGGAGACCGUGGUCAACCUGAUGAAGACCGUCGUCAUGAUCCUGGGUUGUUUCGUGGUGUGUUGGACGCCGGGACUGGUGCUGCUUCUCCUGGACAGUUCGUGUGAGUCCUGCGACGUCCUGACCUACGAGAAGUUCUUCCUGGUGAUGGCCGAGUGCAACUCCUUCAUGAACCCCAUCAUCUACUCCUACCGCGACAAGGACAUGCGCGACACCUUCAAGCGCAUCCUGUGCUUCCCGUGUUUGGGGUCGCAGCAGAAGGGCGAGCACUCGGGUGUGCGCUUCAACACCCUCGAGCAAGAGGUACUCUCAGAGAGCGACGGGACCCAGCACGACAACAGCGUCAAACCGCCGCUCAAGCGCCCGCUUUAGCAGAACUCAGCGCUGACGCUCACGUCAUGCUAGCGGAUGCGCAACAAAUCUUAUAGUCUAGCUGUUAAACAAGUGUUUGUCUGUAUACUUUUGUAGUAAAGGGGCAUUUUAGCGUUCAACAAGCUGUUGCUUCGCCAUUUGUACAAACUCAAACACUAACACUACCUUUUAUGGAAGCUUGUGUCUGCCAGAAAAGGUGAUUGACACUUUUUUUCUUACAAUUCUUGCAGUUCCGAGAUACUUAGAAUUGCUGGAUAUAAACAGUCGCCUUUUUAUUUUUAUUCUGUAGCAGAAACAAAAAACAGAAUUGCAAAUGCUUAAUUCCGAGAAAAAGUCAGACUUGUGAGAUGUAAAAAAGAAUCCCAAGGAAAAAGUUCUAGAAUUCUGAGAAAAAAACGUCAGAAUUGUGAGAUGUAAACUUAGAAUUCUAGGGGAAAAAAAAAGUCAGGAAUUGCGAGAUGUAAACCCAGAAUUCUAGGGAAAAAGUCAGGAAUUGUGAGAUGUAAACUUAGAAUUCUA